rnacentral:rRNA from 1 species
AUGCGGAUUCUGCAAAUUUUCCAUCUUUAUCAGGAUAAUUCUGCACGCUGUUGGAUCUUUGAAAAAAAUCAACUUAAAGAAGCUCCCGUGCACACAAAUUUCCCAGAGCUAAAAGAAUCAAUAGAUCUCUCAGUAGUAUCUCAUCAAUGCUUUGGUCUUACACUUGCACCUGGAGAAGUAAUGAUUGCUGUGGUCCGCAGCUUGGAUCCAAAUAUGCUAGAUCAGAUGUAUCAAGCCAGGACACAAAAGGCAGUGGUUGAGUUCAUUUGGAUUAGUGGUCAGUUCCUUGGCAUUCCACUAAACAAGGACAUUUAUAUCUCCAACAAACAAUCUGCAAAGUCAUCCGAGACUAACUUCUUAUGGUGGGGUUCCAACAUUCUUUGGUCACUGAAGAAUUAUGAAAAAUGUGAAACCAGACUUGUCUUAUGGGAUGUCAUAGCUGCUUUACAAGUGCUCAUGAAAUCCGCACCAGCAUUUCUGGAGACACUAAUGCAUAAAUGGGUCUCAGAUUUGUUUUCAGAUGACCAACAACGUGUUUCUAUCGAUACCCUGUGUCAGUGUAGAAAGGACAUGAUGUCCAAUGUCAGCUCGCGGAAGCUACACCUGCUGAAUAUCAUUUGUAGGAAAGUAAUGCUUCGUGAUCCUGCUGGAGAAAAUGGUAAUAGCACGUCAACUGAUUUGUGGAGCAGUCUUCUGUUGAGCAGCGAAAGAGAGCUACGAGAGAGACUUGUGGCUUUCACUUUUGCUGCUGCCUUGAAUCGAAUGUCAUAUUUUCGCAAGGGCGCAUGUGCUGAAAACAUGUGGUUUCCUGUUGGUGUUGCCCAGAUGCGUUCUUGGGUGUCUAUGAACAGUGGAGGAGUGCAUAAUCAGCUCAGGUCUCUCAGUUCGACAAUUAAACGUCUUGGAAGCAGGAUCAUGUGUGAAUACUCAGCUAAAGAAACCUGUGCCUAUUGCUCCGCACCGGUUCACUUCGAGUCACCUGACAUAGCCUUGUGUGGAAGUGUUGAUCCUGCUAUUGUUCCCACAGAAAGGCACAAGCUGUCAAGAUGUGCAGCAUCGAUGCGCUUAUGCUCUGUUCUGGAACCAACCUGGUACUGUGUAUGUUGUGGAGGAAUGGUUGAUAAGCUUGUGCCCGAGACCUAUUUCACCAUGAAGACAUCUCCCUUGUUGGAUGCUGCCGAUCCAGAUGAUGAAUCGUCACUUUAUUCAGCACCUGCUGUUCCUCGUUGCCCCUUCUGCGGCAUACUGCUGCAGAGGUUGAUGCCAGAGUUCCUGCUCUCCGUCUGCCCGGUAUAG